UAGUAAGUAUAAUAAGAGCAUUUGGUGAAUGCCUUGGCGAUUACAGGCGAUGAAGGACGUAACAGGCUGCGAUAAGCCGCGGGGAGGUGCCAAUAUCCUUUGAUCCGCGGAUUUCCGAAUGGGGAAACCCACCACUUUUGUGGUACUCUAUAGCUGUAAGGUUAUGGAGAGCAAACCCGGAGAACUGAAAUAUCUAAGUACCCGGAGGAAAGGACAUCAAUAGAGACUCCGCUAGUAGCGACGAGCGAACGCGGAUCAGGCCAUUAGGAUUAUGUAAUAACUGGAACAAGUUGGAAAGCUUGGCAAUAAUGGGUGAUAGCCCCGUACAGGUAAAAGUCAUGAUUCUAUCGAGUAGGGCGGAACACGUGAAAUUCUGUCUGAACAUGGGAGGACCUCCUUCCAAGCCUAAGUACUCGUAAUCGACCGAUAGUGAACUAGUACCGUGAGGGAAAGGCGAAAAGAACCCCGACAAGGGGAGUGAAAUAGACCCUGAAACCGAAUGCUUACAAGCAGUCAGAGCAGCCUUGUGCUGUGAUGGCGUACCUUUUGUAUAAUGGGUCAGCGACUUAGUGUAUUUAGCAAGCUUAAGCCGUUAGGUGUAGGCGCAGCGAAAGCAAGUUUUAAUAGAGCGAUUUAGUUAAAUGCAUUAGACUCGAAACCGAGUGAUCUAAGCAUGGUCAGGUUGAAAGUAAGGUAACACUUACUGGAGGACCGAACCCACAUCUGUUGAAAAAGAUGGGGAUGAACUGUGCUUAGGGGUGAAAGGCCAAUCAAACUCGGAUAUAGCUGGUUCUCCGCGAAAUCUAUUUAGGUAGAGCGUCGUAUAUUUACCUUCGGGGGUAGAGCACUGAAAGGGCUAGGGGGGCCCAAAGCCUUACCAAACCUUAUCAAACUCCGAAUACCGAAGAGUAUAGUACGGCAGACACACUACGGGUGCUAACGUCCGUAGUGAAAAGGGAAACAACCCAGAUCGCCAUCUAAGGUCCCUAAGUGAUAAUUAAGUGUGAAAGGAUGUAGGAAUCCCAAAACAACCAGGAGGUUGGCUUAGAAGCAGCCAUCCUUUAAAGAAAGCGUAACAGCUCACUGGUCUAAUUAAGGGUUCCCGCGCCGACAAUGUAACGGGGCUUAAAUUAUCCACCGAAGAUGCGGGUGCAAUUUAUUGCGCGGUAGCGGAGCGUUGUGUAAGCCGUUGAAGGUGUGCUGUAAGGCAUGCUGGAGGUAUCACAAGUGAGAAUGCUGACAUGAGUAGCGACAAAGAGUGUGAGAAUCACUCUCGCCGAAAUCCCAAGGGUUCCUGCUUAAAGCUAAUCUGAGCAGGGUUAGUCGGCUCCUAAGGCGAGGCUGAAAAGCGUAGUCGAUGGGAAACAGGUUAAUAUUCCUGUACUAGAUGGUAGUGACGCAUCGAGUAAAUUGUUCUUCCUUAUUGGAUUGGAAGGGCUGUGAAUCGGUGCCAGGAAAUAGCUCCAUCAUUAAUAACCGUACCCUAAACCGACACAGGUGGGAAGGUAGAGUAUACCAAGGCGCUUGAGAGAAUGAUGUUGAAGGAACUAGGCAAAUUACACGCGUAACUUCGGGAUAAGCGUGCCCUAUUAGAAGGCAACUUUUAGUAGGGGGCACAUACCAGGUGGUAGCGACUGUUUAUUAAAAACACAGGACUAUGCAAACUCGCAAGAGGAAG
rnacentral:rRNA from 1 species